rnacentral:rRNA from 1 species
AUUGAACGCUAGCGGGAUGCCUUACACAUGCAAGUCGAACGGCAGCGCGGACUUCGGUCUGGCGGCGAGUGGCGAACGGGUGAGUAAUGUAUCGGAACGUGCCCAGUAGCGGGGGAUAACUACUCGAAAGAGUAGCUAAUACCGCAUACGCCCUACGGGGGAAAGGGGGGGAUCGCAAGACCUCUCACUAUUGGAGCGGCCGAUAUCGGAUUAGCUAGUUGGUGAGGUAAAGGCUCACCAAGGCGACGAUCCGUAGCUGGUUUGAGAGGACGACCAGCCACACUGGGACUGAGACACGGCCCAGACUCCUACGGGAGGCAGCAGUGGGGAAUUUUGGACAAUGGGGGCAACCCUGAUCCAGCCAUUCCGCGUGUGCGAUGAAGGCCUUCGGGUUGUAAAGCUCUUUUGUCAGGGAAGAAACACCGGCUCUAACACAGUCCGGGAAUGACGGUACCUGAAGAAUAAGCACCGGCUAACUACGUGCCAGCCGCCGCGGUAA